UACGUAGGGUGCGAGCGUUAAUCGGAAUUACUGGGCGUAAAGCGUGCGCAGGCGGUUUUGUAAGCCAGAUGUGAAAUCCCCGGGCUUAACCUGGGAAUGGCAUUUGGGACUGCAAGGCUUGAGUGCGGCAGAGGAGACUGGAAUUCCUGGUGUAGCAGUGAAAUGCGUAGAUAUCAGGAGGAACACCAGUGGCGAAGGCGGCUCACUGGCCCGAUACUGACGUGAGGCACGAAAGCGUGGGGAGCAAACAGG
rnacentral:rRNA from 1 species